rnacentral:rRNA from 1 species
UNGCUUAAAGUUUGAUCAUGGCUCAGGAUGAACGCUGGCGGGGUGUUUAACACAUGCAAGUCCAACGGAGUGCUCAUGACGGAGGAUUCGUCCAACGGAUUGAGUUACUUAGUGGCGGACGGGUGAGUAACGCGUGAGGAACCUGCCUCGGAGUGGGGAAUAACAGCCCGAAAGGGUUGCUAAUACCGCAUGAUGCAGUUGGGCCGCACGGCUCUGACUGCCAAAAAUUUAUCGCUCUGAGAUGGCCUCGCGUCUGAUUAGCUGGUUGGCGGGGUAACGGCCCACCAAGGCGACGAUCAGUAGCCGGACUGAGAGGUUGACCGGCCACAUUGGGACUGAGACACGGCCCAGACUCCUACGGGAGGCAGCAGUGGGAAUAUUGGGCAAUGGGCGCAAGCCUGACCCAGCAACGCCGCGUGAAGGAUGAAGGCUUUCGGGUUGUAAACUUCUUUUAUCAGGGACGAAACAAAUGACGGUACCUGAUGAAUAAGCCACGGCUAACUACGUGCCAGCAGCCGCGGUAAUACGUAGGUGGCAAGCGUUAUCCGGAUUUACUGAGUGUAAAGGGCGUGUAGGCGGGACUGCAAGUCAGAUGUGAAAACUAUGGGCUCAACCCAUAGCCUGCAUUUGAAACUGUAGUUCUUGAGUGCUGGAGAGGCCAAUCGGAAGUCCGUGUGUAGCGGUGAAAUGCAUAGAUAUACGGAGGAACACCAUUGGCGAAGGCCGAUUGCUGGACAGUAACUGACGCUGAGGCGCGAAAGCGUGGGGAGCAAACAGGAUUAAAUACCUGGUAGUCCACGCCGUAAAACUAUGGAUACUAAGUGUGCGGGCUGACCCCCUUCCUCGCCCCAGUAACACAAUAAGUAUC